rnacentral:tRNA from 2 species
GGAGGAAUGGCCGAGUGGUCGAAGGCGGCGGUCUUGAAAACCGUUAGCGGUGUGAGCCGCUCGGGGGUUCGAAUCCCUCUUCCUCCGCCA